rnacentral:rRNA from 1 species
GGGCCAGGGCGCGUGCUUACCAUGCAAGUCGAACGAUGAACACUUCGGUGGGGAUUAGUGGCGAACGGGUGAGUAACACGUGGGCAAUCUGCCCUGCACUCUGGGACAAGCCCUGGAAACGGGGUCUAAUACCGGAUAUUGACCUUCACGGGCAUCUGUGAGGUUCGAAAGCUCCGGCGGUGCAGGAUGAGCCCGCGGCCUAUCAGCUUGUUGGUGAGGUAAUGGCUCACCAAGGCGACGACGGGUAGCCGGCCUGAGAGGGCGACCGGCCACACUGGGACUGACACACGGCCCACACUCCUACGGGAGGCAGCAGUGGGGAAUAUUGCACAAUGGGCGAAAGCCUGAUGCACCGACGCCGCGUGAGGGAUGACGGCCUUCGGGUUGUACACCUCUUUCAGAAGGGAAGAAGCGAAAGUGACGGUACCUGAAGAAGAAGCGCCGGCUAACUACGUGCCAGCCGCCGUAAUAAUACGUACGGCCUAGCGUUGACCGGAAUUAUUGAGCGAAAACACCUCGUAGGCUGGUUGCCGCGACGGUUGUGAAAGUCUCGUGCCUAGCGGCGCUUCAGUAGACGAUACGGGCAGGCUAGAGUUCAGAAGAGAAGAUCGUUCUUCGUGGAGUAGAGAUGCAAAGAUAAGAAAUCACGAAGAUCACUAGCGCAGAUCUCUCAUCACUACAGACACUCACUAAUAACGCGCGCGUACAGACAAACUAGAUAGAUACAUAGCCAGGCCACCCACGUUAGUAACUGUGCGUGACUCUACGCUCCAUUCCAUCCUAGCCGUACCUAAUCAAGACUAUCCCGUGCUGGGCAGCACCACGCGAGCACAACACUAAACUAAUAGGCAUGGCCCCACCGCCACAGACGUGUAGAUGAAGCUAACUCGCAAUAUCUAAAAUCUUUCACUGUACACAUCACGAUAACACUCCACACGUCGCCUCUUGUAACGGGGACAGCUGAGCACGCUCCGUCAGUAAAGUAGUACUAAUCACUCACCCCCCACGAGCCACCCUUGCACGGGUGCCAGAACCAUGCAACCCAAGAUACGCGAGACGCAGGGUAACCUUAAAACCUUCGAUAUUUUACAUGAUGUCUUAUGCCGGAUAAAACUGCAUUAAAGAGUUAAAUCCUAAA